GCUCAAUCGACUCAGGAAUUGCCUCUCAAGGCUUUGUUGCAUCUCCCGGGCUCCAGAGACAAACACCCAGCGUAGAUCCUCCAAGAAAGUGGCUCCCCUGAAAGAGGUCGGAAGCAGAACCCGGUGAAAGGCUUCUCCUCUGCAGAUGACAGCGCUGCACUACCGAAGCUCGUGCUUGCAAGGCCAGGAAAGUCGUGGAUCCCUGACAAUGAAGGCAGUGGUUCAUUGUUGCUGCGGAUCACCUUUCAAAAUAACAACCCUAAACUAGAAACACAAAGUAAAAUUAUCCUACCGAUGUGAGACUGUUGUACAGAGGGAAUCUCAUGUCCAGAUGGAAUCUCAUGUGAGGAUCUGGUGCCUGGCAGAGGAUCAAUUUCAAGGCUCUAAUGGGCCACCUCAAAAGUUUCCCUGCCAUUCAGAAGGACAACCAGGGCCUGACCCUGUGGCUGCUGUAUCAGUGUGGAGCAUCUGCCUAAAAUGGACACUAGCAUCUCUAGACAAAGGAGAGGCUGGAGUGCCACACUUGUACUGCAUGCCCAACCAUUAAAACAGUAGCCAACCAACUGUUGAGGUGUGUACACAAUGAUACAGGAUUCUGCACAGAGACUCCAUUCACAAUAAUAGGGCCUCUUUUGUAGCCACCCAAAGCAGGCCGAUGCCUUCAGCCCCUGUACCCCAAGACCAAAUAACAGGCAUUUUUUUAGGACACAUAAGCUGGUCCUUGUUUCAGUUCCUUACCCCAUUCAUUUUGUCUCCUAUCAAGAAAACUUUUCCUGCCCAUCUCAGAACUGAAUCUUGUUCCACAAUUCAGGGAACACAUGUGAAAAGAGGAUUUGGACCUCUCUGUCCUCACGUCUCUGUAUGGACACUCUGGGUGGACCAUCUCUGGAAGAUCCUGUCCCAGCUGCAGGAUGGCCUGAGCGCCUGUACUGUCCAUAUCUACUGAAAGAAACACUCGAGGCAAUAGACUAUCCUGUCAAAGGCAAUGCAUUCUGCCCUUGACAAUGAUGUGAACAUUCCGCUGUCUCCACAUGAACACACCCAGCCUGCCCCAACAUUGUGCUAUAGUCACUAUGGGGACAAGAAGGAGAAGAGGACUAUGAGAGUAGGAUGCUGGAUGCCAAAAUAAUAAUGAUUGAGUCACCCUCUAGUGAUGACGAUGAAGCUCAGGCUCUACACUUCAGUGUGAGAGCUCAGUGUUGUUUCUGGAACCGUGUCCACACCAACACCCAGGAAACCACAGGCUUUGGAUGGUGGAUGCUUCUGACCAGACGGGGAGAGUGGAGGCUUGAGCACUUAAGUCCCUGCAGAUUUCUCAACCUGCCUGAACUCUCUGCUAAUCCAGUGUUCCAGUACUCUCCAACGGUGAGGCGAGAGAAGACCAGAGAUGUUUGCAACUCUGAUCCAGUCUAACUGAGCUUCCAGUGCUCAAACACAGAGCGUGGACAGAGAUUUUUGAGGCCUCUCCAUGAAUGCUGUCCAGAAUCAAGCUAUGGGGGAGUUCAGUGUGGGAGACGUGCAGGACCUUGGAUAGAGUCUGGGGUCUCGAGAAUGAAAUGUGUCUUCAUUAGGGCCAGAAGACACAUGAGGAGUGGCCCAGUAGAUACAGAAGACACAGUGUCAUGAUGUGGAGUCCAAGGCCAAGGGAGGUUACUGAGAAAUCCAAUGCUUGUAUGAGUGAAGCUGGACAUGAACAGUGUGGAUGGACGUGGUCCCUUUCACUUCAAGCUGCAGUGUUGUCGCCAGCUGCUGAGAAGCCCAUGUCCCAGUAGACUAUCCUCUGACAAGAAUAUUAUGCCUUUUAAGCUCAUGUGACGAUUUCUCUGUCUCCAUAUAGGAGACCAGGCCAUACAAGGUGCUACUGUCACUGAGGAGACAGUAAUGAGAGGAGGACUGUGACAGUGGGAGGCGUCAUGCAAAAGUGAUGUGAGGCUCAGAUGCAUCUGGAAGCUUUAUGGUGCAACCCCUUCUCCUCUCUUCAGAUCUUCAUUCUAUGCUGGAGUCUUCCUAGUGACAGCCCUGUCACCAAACGACAGCAACGUCUCCCUUAAUCUCCCUCGUUCUUGCUGCUCAGUCUUGAGACUAAAGAGCCUAGAGGAGGGCCUCUACAGAUCAGUCAGUGGGUGUCCCCUGACCACUGCCACUGCAUUUUCUAGGGAUUGUGUUCUAUGUGUGGGAUGUAUGAGAGAGCUGGUCUCCCAGCUCUUGGGAUGCAGCCUGUUCCUCAUUUCCUGGACAGUGCCUGCUCCAGUCUUCCUCUUGCAUCAUGGAAGCCAUUCUUCCCUUCACAGGCCUGACUUCAUUUUUACCCACAAGGAGGAAGGGUGAAGAUUGGCUCUGAGAUGUGACCCCAGCUUCUAGACUGUCUAUGUGAAGUGGUAUUAUCUGACCUUUUCUCAGAUGCCAUUCUAUAGGCACAGAGAUGUGCAAGGCUCUAGCUAGGUGCUAGAUCCCAGGAUCAUUAAUGUCAUGGACAACCUGUGCCCAAGGAGCUAACACACUGACACAGUCCAGGACAUCCAGGAAGACGAAAGUGGUGAGAUCAAAAGCCCUCAGAGUGUUAGGUGAUGCAACAUGCCAAAAGCCUGAACUCUACGCUCCCCUUGUGCUGGUGAUGGGAAAGUCAGAAGAUGAAGAGGCUAUCCUGAUGGCUGGACAAUGUAGCAAUCCCAGAAACAAGAGGCCAUGCUCCUGCAUGUAGAUCCACCAUUCUUCACAUAUGCAUGUUGAGUUUCUAAGCAGAUGUCUCUAGCUAUGAUUCUGAACUUCAGAAAAGCAGUCGAAGGUCAUGAGGAGUCCUGAUAGAAUCAACACAGGCUAGAGCCAAAAUCGCGAUGCUGUGUCCUAAAGUCCUUUCCUGUUUGGAGCUGCUGAGUGUAGUCUGAACUGAGAGUCUGGACCUGCUCUCUCAGUGAAGGCACAACUUCUUGAACUCUGACUCUGAACUGUACUUGUGGCUAAUGCUCCUUAUGAUCCAAAAACCUAAUUCAGCAUUGAAAAUAUAAGCUUCCAACCUCCAACCUGGAACAUUCUGUCUCAGAAAGGACAGUGUGUACACUUGAAUGGAAAGACCAGAUCCUGGUGCUUUCCCACAAGAAGUUGCUGAAUGUGGCUACCUGGAAGGACAACCAAAGAGGGCUGCCAGAGAGAAGGCCACUACCAAUUAGUCAAGCAACCUCAGCUGCAUCAUCACAAGCAUCUGUAGUAUGGAGGUCUGGUAAACACAGUGUGGGCCUUUUCCUUCCCUGGAUGCCACCAUCAAGUGAGAUAUAGGUCGUUCACAUCACUGUGUGAACCUAGAAUUCCUCUGCAGGUAAGGGCUUGGGAAAAGGGCCGUGUGCAGAAGUGCUAGUGGUUGAUAUCACUGGCUAUUCCUUAAAUAUGAGAAAUCCGAGUAUCCAGCCGUUACAGAGCACCUUCCUUCCUUGCUCCCUCUAACCCCUAACCCUUAUAAGAACACCCUGAAGGCAAUAUUUAGAUUAUGACUGGAGAUGAGACAUUCAGAGGGAGGGAGGCAGGGUGCCUCACCGAGCGUGACAUGGGAGCCACAGUUUGAUAACGUUUACUGAUGAAGGGAACCACCAGAUAUAUUCCACUGUUGUCCCUGGGUUGUUUUAGAGUCCUUGUGAUACUCUGAAGCAAAACCUUUUAGCUUCAUUUCCAUCACAGUGACUGGACACUUCCAGUCAUAUACUGGAAUUAUAUUGUUAUAUUGCAUUACCACAGUGAAGCCAAGGCAUAUCUGCAAAGGGGACGCCCAUGUCAUAUGCUUGCAUGUGCUCAUCUAAAGCUCUGUGCUAUUGUGCAGCCUGGUACCCAAGCCUAAGGAAUGGCACUGCCCAAAUUGUUGUGUCUUCCCAUGUCAAUUAAGAUAAUGAACUUGAUCCUCUAUAGACAGUCUCACAGGGAACUUCAUCUAGAGCAUUCCUCUGUGAAGACUCCCUCCAGGUCACUUCUCCUGCACUACUUAAGAUUACUAAUUAAAGGGCAUGAAUUGCUCCCAGUGGCGACCAUAUCUCCCAACAUUGAAAAUUGUCAGAUUCGUGACUAGAGGUUUCAGCUUCUCAUUUUACCCAGGCUCAAACCUGACAUCUUGUGGUGUGUCCUACCUGGCCCUCUCAGCUUCUCCCUACAUUAUACCUGACACUGUUUUCACUCAGCCAUCAGCUCAUCACUGGGAUGUCUCUACUGUGUCCUUGACUAAUGCUUUCUACACAGGGAUUAAGAUUUCGAAGCAGACAUCUUUGCCUUCAGGUUGAUCUAUUUUUCUAUUUCCUCUGCUAGGUCCUUUUACAGGAGUGGAGUCCUUCCCUCCAAGGGAGGUUAGCAACUGGUCAGACAUUCAGGCCAUUUUCCUCUGCUAGCCUGUGCUUCUUUGAGUAGGUCCAAUUCAGUGCUACUAGGUAUGUAUAAUGCUUACAGACCUUACCCUAAUUUAUAGAGAUGGUAUGGGCAUUGAGAGCAUGUAACCUUGGAAAGCAUUUUAAAUUAGUUACAAAUGUUCUCACUUAUGACCUACUUGCUGUCUCCUCUGUCUGUCUCUUCUGCUUCUCUGUUUCUGUAUCUCUCUGUUACUCCAGCUUUGUCUCUGUCUCUGCAUUUGUUUCUGACUCUAUCUCUCUUCCUCUCUGCCUCUCAGCUUCUCUCUCCCUGUCUGUCUCUGUCUGUGUUUCUCUCUCUCUCUCUCUCUCUCUCUCUCUCUCUCUCUCUCUCUCUGUGUGUGUGUGUGUGUGUGUGUGUGUGUGUGUGUGUUUUGGCAUAUAUAUUUUGUGGUUAGCCUGUGGAUGUCAGAGGAUAACUCUAUUGAGGCAUUUCUCAAACCCUUAAAGGACCCAGAUAUUUAACUCUAUUUAAUAUUCUUGGGAAAGUUUUAUAGGUGGAAGAACAUGAAUGAUCUGAGGCUGUGCCAGUCCAUGCUGGAGAAGUACCUGACUGGACUGAGGAGUAGAAACCUCGGCCAUGGACCAUGAAUGUGCUGUUCUCCUUCCAUGGAUGACAGUCAGGACAAUGGAAUCUUCUCUGUCCUUCAGAAUUUUCUUGGUUGUUGAUUUGGGGAAUCCUCAAUCUCUCAACUUAGUUCUCUAAUGUCAAGUAGUAUUGAAUCUUAGCAUCCUACUUUAUUUGCCCCUGUUAUUUCUGUCUACCUUUAUUUUGCCAGAACUUUGUAUGGCUAUGACAGUACGUUUGUAUCACUUUAGGAUUGGCAAGGCCACAUCAGGGUAACCAGAGCCCUUACACAUGAUAGUCUUCUUGUAACACUAAUCUUGACUCAGUGGUGAGAGAGAACUUAAAACUCAGAGCAUGACCUGCCCCAGUGUGGUUCCUGAGCCUGGGAACUCAAAGCUCAACAGUCCAACCUUCUUCGUUUAUUCUGGGUUUGGACCUUUUGCAGUCUUUUCUUGUCAGUGUCAACAACUACUUCGGUAGUAGCUGGAAGUCCAGAAAUCAAGGGGUGGGCGUUUCUUGCAUGAUCUUGACCCAUAUUGGGUCUUCUAACUUCUGUCUCCACAUUCAACAUUAAAUAUACCACAUCUCUCCAAAGGUCAUGCCUGUUCCAGUAUCCUGAACUCAGUGAGGAGGUUGGACUAAGUGUCAAAGGAAUGAAGGUCAAGCUCUGGAUUUUAUCAGAGAGUCUGAGCAAGACCACUGAUGUUCUGGGAAAAACUUGACUUUUCAGUGGAAUCUUCAUCUGCUGUACAUAACCAAAAGCCUUUGCUGUGAUGAAAACCAGGUAGACAGAGAGUCCACAACGGGAAAUGGUUCCGAGGUCUACCACCUUAAUGCUUCCAAUUCUGCCUUCUAGGGAAUGCUAACAAAUCUGCAUACUGCUAUGUUCCAGAGGAUGAUAAAAGGUGCUGCAGUUGGCAUGACUGCUGACAAGAGACACUGAGAGGUUCACUUCAAAUUCAAUAUUCAGAUUGUCUUCAUGGUCUUUCCUUAGUCUCCCCUUAGAGACAGAACUGAAAUUCACCCUGGACCACAUCUUUUACAUGAAGAUAUGGAGGAAGAACCUUUUGGCCAUCAUAUUCAAGCCUGCAUGAGUUCAUAUUUGUGUCCCAGGCCUCGAGCUUUUGAGUCUCCAAGGGAAAACUUUUGGUGGUGUUGCUACAGGAUCUACAUGCGGGUCUCUUUGUUUGCCUUCUGUACAUGGAUAACACAAGUGAUGUUCUGACCCCUUUGUAGGGAGGAGAACAAAGACCUGGAGAUGUCAUGCUGUUCACCUGUUCAAACAGUGCAGAAGAGCAGGCAACCAACACCAGACCUUCUGGGUGCUAGGACCCUGUCACUAUGCAAGGGCUAUCUAGGAUGACUCUGUACAGGUGAUAUGGCAGAAGUUAAUUCUUUCCAAAAGAGCUUGACUGACAUAGUGAAGAGAGCUCCCACAACUUCCCUGUCACAGUCUCCAUCAGUUCUUCCAUGUCUCCUUGGCUAUCACUUCAGAGAGCUUCUGAUUCUCCUGACAGGAGAGCUCCAGCAAAAACUCGGACUUCAGGCUAGAGGGACAAGUAUAGCAAUGGGGGUAUUAUGCAUUGGUGCAGUGCUAGCACAUCUGGGGGCUGCAAAGACUGGUGAGAAAGACCUGGGAAAAUAUCUUCGGCAAGAAAUCCAUUCUUCUCUCAACUCACAAGUUCCUUCAUUUUGUUCUCCAUAUUCAGUCUCAUGAUACUGAACAGACUGUUCUAGCUGAUGAGGCCGGGCUUAGAAGAUGGACUACAGCCAAGAACCCUGGCCACCAUAACGACAAGUCACACCUUUAGGAAACACUUGAAAAGCACUUAUGCACAGUAGAAAAGUACAAGGAUUAAAGUCUCCUCAGGCAUUCCAGCAUAGAGAGAGUCUGACAGACUCAGGUCAGAGGUUACCUCCAAAUAAUAGAAGAGGAAGAAGGUCCUGCUUGACAGAAGAAGCCUGUGGCUGAGGCCAUUGCAACAAGGACUAUGAUUGUGAAACUUGUUUCUCCGUGGAUACUGGUUUCAGAAAUCUUGUGCCCAGGUACCCACAGUCCUCCUCACAUACCUCAUUUUAUAGAACUUUGCAAGUCCUGACAUUGUGUCAUGUGCUUUGUUAUCCCACAUAGGGUAACAAAGAUUUUUACCCAUUUAAGAGUCUGGAAAUAGGCUGGACCCACUGUUGACAUUAAAGGUGCAUUUCUCUACUUUGUGGUUAUUGACCCUUUUCAAACUUGUUUGACAUCCUCUACAUCUAUGAUGACAGGGAACAAGGCUCAGGGGCUGAUAUUUCCAAGAUUCAUCCCUAUGAAAUUCAGAAUCCCAUACCUCAAACAGUACAGAUACCACUGUGGAAUGGGUUCAAAGACAAGUUGUCUGAUAUAGGAAUUUUUCAGAUUAAUUUAUAGGUCCAGCACUCAGCUAGAUGAAACCUACAGAGAAUCAUUCAGGGAUUCCAACUUUAGAAAUUAAGUGAUGCAAUUAAAGAAAAUGGCAAGUGGUAGGCUCACAUAGUCACAUCAUUGCCUCUGUGACCCAUAGUACUGUGAUUGCCUUGCUCUGUGUCACCAUUUACAGAAUAACAGUGCAGGGCAGCAGAGCAGUACAGUGGCCCUUGGGUGGUGUGGUGGGUGGUUCCAGGGCAUACUGCCAUCCCUCCAUCCUCUACAUCUAGGAUGAAAGCAAGAGGAAAAUGGGAGGGAUUAUGUGAGGGCAAGAUUCAUGGCCCAAUUCAGCCUAGUUGUCAUCUACCAGGCUGGAAGAGCACAGCUGCCUCAGUGUGUAGACCUGGUGGCUGUAGGAUGACCUGCUUGUCUGCACAUAGUGGCUUCUGGCCAAGGAUGCAGAUAAAUUGACUCUGAAACAAAACUUGGCCCAUGACCUAGAAAGUGUGGUCUGUCAGGCCCCCUGACAGAUGGUUGACUAAUGCUCUUGAAAGCAUUAUCCAACCAUUCCCCUGACCGAUGGACACAUUAUCAGAGCUUUUUGUUUACUGAACAAGUGACCUUCACUCUCCCUGCUGUCCUCAAACUCGCUACCCUACUGCCUGAGACUUCACCUACUCAUCAUUGUGCUGACAUUCUGGCAGAAGAAAUGGAUACUCGAAAUGAUCUGAAGGAUCAGAUCAGCCUUGGCCUGAGAGUUCAAGCUGGUACAUGGAUGGCAAUAGCCUCACGGUUGAAGGUAAGCAGAAGGAGGGGACAGUGGUGCAGUGGUAGAAAGCAAGUGAUCUCGGCCAACAGCCUCCCUGAAGGGACGUUAUCCCAGAAAGCUGAACUUGUGGCUUUGAUACAAGCUCUAUAGAUGGCAAAAGGGAAGUCUACACUGACAGCAGUUAUGAUUUUGCCACUGUAUGGAGCAAUAUACAGACCAAGAGGGCUGUUGACAUCUGCCGAGAAAGACCUAAGAUGCUGUGGCUAAAAGAAAUCAGAUGGCAGAUCUAACCGCCAAACAGGCAUUCCAAAGAGCAAUGAUCCCAACAGUCUGAAGACUAUCAAGUUAUAGACAAACUAAGACUGGUAAAAGAAACACUAUAUAGAAUAGUAGAAACUGAAGAAAGAAAACUAGUCCUCCCAUGGGAAGACAGACAUGAAAUCUACUGGGAAAUAGACUUUACUGAGAAAAUUAUGUGUAUGAAUACCUCCUAGUUUUUGUGAACAUUCUCAAGAUGGAUAGAAGCUUUUCCUUGUAAAAAUGAGACUGCUCAGAUAGUCAAGAAUAUUAUUAAAGAAAAUUUUCCAAGGUUCAGAUUGCCAAAAGCAAUAGUGUCAGAUAAUGGCCCUGCCUUUGUUGCCCAGGUAAGUCAGGGUGUGGCCAAGUAUUUAGAGGUCAAAUGAAGAUUGUAUUGUGUGUACAGACCUCAGAGCUCAGGACAGAUUGAAUAAAUAGAACUCUAAAAGAGACCUUGACAAAAUUAACCAUGGAGACUGGCACAGACUUGGUGCUCCUUCCCCGUGCCCUAUUUAGAACUGGAAAUACUCCUUCUUGAUUCAGUCUUACUCUUUUUGAGAUCCUUUAUGGGGCUCCCAUGCCCACCACUGUCUAAAAAUGAUGUGUUUAAACCUAUGUUGUUAUAAUAAUGAUCUGUAUGCUAAGUUAAAAGGCUUGCAGGUGGUGCAGAAAGAAGUCUGGUCACAACUGGCUACAGUGAACGAGCCGGGUACCCCAAAGACAUCUCACCAGUUCCAGCCAGAGAUCUGAUCUACGUGCACCUACAUCAUGCCCAGACCCUCAAGCCUCACUAGAAGGGUCCCUGCCUAGUCCUGUUUACUAACCCUUCUUAUUCUGUUUUUGUUCCCAUGUUAAAUACAGUAUAGCUUAUGGUCCUCCAGUGUCAACACCAACCUAUAGUUAAAAAAAAAAAGAGUAUGAUUUCUAUUCUCCACAUAGAGAUAUAGACUUCUAAAAUUCCAAGAUUAGAAUUACUUAGUAGAAGAAGAGGGGAAUGAAAGAUGAAAUUUCAAGACCUGUAAGUCAUAAAGUACUCAGAAAUUGCUGGUUGUUUGUGAGCCUAGAGGCUGCCUGGGGCUGAGAACAAAGAAAAACAAACCCAGGUAUGCCCCAUAGUUAAAACAUUCCUGGUAACAGCUUGACCAAAAAGAUAAAGAGGAAUGUGAGGACAUAACAGGGCUAUCUGAACUGAGUCAACAACUCAUAGAACUCUGACACCCUGCACGCACAUGUAAUUUUUCUGCUGAUGUUUGAAUGAGCCAGUAGUGUCUCGCUAUGCUGAAUUCCCCACCCCUAAACCCCUUACCCCAUAAAAACCCCUAGCUUUCAAACCUCAAUGCCAAUAUACGUUAUCUCCUGUGUGGGAUGCAUGUCGGUCCGGAGCUCCGUCAUUAAACUACCUCGUGUAAUUACAUCAAGACGGUCUAUUUGUG
rnacentral:lncRNA from 1 species